rnacentral:tRNA from 1 species
UGCCUCCAGAGUGGAUCGUACUCUCGACUCCUGGUUUAUAAGACCAGUGCUCUGCCACUGAGCUAUAAAGGC